CGAGGUAGUGGCGAGGCGAAGCGUGCGCCCGCUCGGCGGCGGCCGUUGGCGGGCGACUGGCCCGCGAGCGCACUUUCGCUCUCCAGCCGGCUAUCUCCUCGAGUGAAGUUGCUGACACACAGGAAACCCUCCGACCGCUGAGAGCCUGCUGCCCGCGGCUCCCCCGCCGCCAGUCACAGGCUGAGGUCUCUAAGGCCCCCUAGCACCAAGCCAGGUGUUUGCAAACUGCGCACAGCCGGCAGUCCGGGCUGGGAACGCCCAGGCGUUGCGCGGCGCCUCGCUUCGCCCAGCGCAAAGAAAAGUGAAGAACGAAGUUGCACUUCUAAGCCUCAAGUAAAAGAAAUCAAGAAAUUUGGAAGAGGUUUCAGGACUAGAGGGAGAGUGUAAGGGAAGAACUGAGGAAUCAUGUUUUUCUGGAAAAAGGAGAAGAGUAUCCUGAGAUGUGAAACAUCUUCAGAGGAUGGGACAUGAAGGAGAUAAGUAUGUUUGAAAAUUGGUGAGAAUGAGGGAACAUGGUGUUGAAUAUUAGA
rnacentral:lncRNA from 1 species